CGAGGUUCGCGUCUCGAAGCUGCCAGGGCAAUGCGCGGGAUUUGGGCACUUUUUGCUGUCUUUUGAUAUCCGGAGAAACCGCGUCGCGGUAUUAGAGUACUAGACUGCACUUGCUUGCUGCUCGGUUGUGUAACGAAGGCUGCUAGCAGAUACCCCGUAGGACGGCAGCCAGCUUGCUUCUCCGUGCGGCACGCGGAACGGACGGCGUCUGGGCCUUUCCCUCGGCGGUUAGAAUCUUUUCCCGAUGCUAGAAGUCUCCCGGAGUGUCGGAAUCUUCUGUACCAGGCCGACAAAAUGUGGAGUUUGAGCGACAACGAGGAACACCUGCGACUGUCUAGGUGUCUUACUGCCGCCCCGGGCGUACCCGGAAAGUCUGCAUUGACUCUGUGUCUGGUGGGAGCCGAACUAAAACCAGAGUGGUCCUGUGCUGGCUUGGGCGCAACAAAAACAGACCGACACCUAGGUUACUGCGUCUGUAUACCCGCCCCGGUGUUCUGCUCACAGUGCCAACAAACCGG
rnacentral:lncRNA from 1 species